AUGGAGCCAAACCAAUCCUGGCCGUGGAGCUGGGAGCAGCAAGGGAACCAAUGGGGUAGCGAGACUAGCGGGCCGGCAGGCGGGCGGGUCGGAGGGCCCAGAGGAGACCCGUGAUGACGUGAGCCACGAUACGUUUCGGAGGCCAACGCGGGCCUGAGCUGGGGAAUUAGCUCAAAUGGUAGAGCGCUCGCUUAGCAUGUGAGAGGUAGCGGGAUCGAUGCCCGCAUUCUCCAAGGCUGAAUUUUACAGGGGGCUGGGGUCGUCUGUCCCGGUUCCUUUACCCGUAAGUGGUGACUAUUCCAGGAGUCGGCCUCCAGAUGCAAAGCGUCGUCCCGAAUCCCGAGUAAAUCGACAGAAGGGCGGAAGGUGGCAGCAAGGCUGAAAAGCUCAGGCCAGCCCCCAUGUUUCUCAGGGACAGAACCUUCCACACCUGCCACAUCCCUGUUCCCCAGCAUCCUGCUUGGCAGUGGACAUGACCAAGACCUGGCCACAUGGAUUCUGUUCAACUGCCCAGGGUAGCUGUGGACCCAAGGGCGUUGCUGGGCCUGGGGCAAGGAGGAGCUCCACAUCAAUCCUCGAUGAGGGUUGGAGGGCUGAGCGGAGCAAACGAUAGGGCCAGUGGGGAGGGAGACCCCACAGGACGCAGAGAUGGGUGACAGAGACUUGGGGAGUAGUGGGGGGGGGGGGGGGCUUGGAGGGAAGGUGGGAGCCCUUGAGUAGUGCCCAGCUGUCAGUACUAUUUCUCAACCAAAAGAAUGGUUGAAUAAAUGAGUGGAAAAAAAUUCUGUUUUUAUUAUU
rnacentral:tRNA from 1 species